AAUUUUGGAAGAGAUGCAUUUAUUAGAUAAAAAACCAAUACAUACUUUUUCAAGUAUGAAAUUUGGUGAUUUACAAUAACUUAGCAAAUCGCAUAGUGAAAACAGGCGAUAAAUCAUUCAAGUUUCUGACCUAUCAGCUUUCGACGGUAUGGUAUUGGCUUACCGUGGCAGUGACGGUUAACGGGGGAUUAGGGUUCAAUUCCGGAGAGGGAGCCUGAGAAACGGCUACCACAUCUAAGGAAGGCAGCAGGCGCGCAAAUUACCCAAUUCUAACAGCAUAAGAGAGGUAGUGACAAGAAAUAACAAUACAAGGCAGUUAAAAUGCUUUGUAAUUGGAAUGAUAGAAAUUUAAACACUUUUUAAAGUAUCAAUUGGAGGGCAAGUCUGGUGCCAGCAGCCGCGGUAAUUCCAGCUCCAAUAGCGUUUAUUAAAAUUGUUGCAGUUAAAAAGCUCGUAGUUGAAUUUCUGUUAAAAAUAACCGGUCUGCUUUUAAUAAAAGCGGUAUCUUGGUGUGUUUUUAGCAAUAAUGUCCUUUGAAAUGUUUUUUACUUUAUUGUAAUAAAUAAUAUUCAGGAUUUUUACUUUGAGAAAAUUAGAGUGUUUCUAGCAGGCUAACGCUUUGAAUACUGCAGCAUGGAAUAAUAAAAUAGGAUUUUAGUUCUACAUUAUUGGUUUUAAGAACUAAAUUAAUGAUUGAUAGGGACAGUUGGGGGCAUUUGUAUUUAACUGUCAGAGGUGAAAUUCUUAGAUUUGUUAAAGACAAACUACUGCGAAAGCAUUUGCCAAAGAUGUUUUCAUUAAUCAAGAAC
rnacentral:rRNA from 1 species